rnacentral:rRNA from 1 species
CCUACGGGAGGGCAGCAGUGGGGAAGUAUUGGACAAUGGGCGAAAGCCUGAUCCAGCAAUGCCGCGUGAGUGAUGAAGGCCUUAGGGUUGUAAAGCUCUUUUACCCGGGAUGAUAAUGACAGUACCGGGAGAAUAAGCUCCGGCUAACUCCGUGCCAGCAGCCGCGGUAAUACGGAGGGAGCUAGCGUUAUUCGGAAUUACUGGGCGUAAAGCGCACGUAGGCGGCUUUGUAAGUAAGAGGUGAAAGCCUGGUGCUCAACACCAGAACUGCCUUUUAGACUGCAUCGCUUGAAUCCAGGAGAGGUGAGUGGAAUUCCGAGUGUAGAGGUGAAAUUCGUAGAUAUUCGGAAGAACACCAGUGGCGAAGGCGGCUCACUGGACUGGUAUUGACGCUGAGGUGCGAAAGCGUGGGGAGCAAACAGGGAUUAGAUACCCUGGUAGUCCACGCCGUAAACGAUGAUAACUAGCUGUCGGGGUUCUUAGAACUUCGGUGGCGCAGCUAACGCAUUAAGUUAUCCGUCCUGGGGAGUACGGCCGCAAGGUUAAAACUCAAAGGAAUUAGAGG